rnacentral:rRNA from 1 species
CGGUAGCACAGAGAGCUUGCUCUCGGGUGACGAGNGGCGGACGGGUGAGUAAUGUCUGGGAAACUGCCUGAUGGAGGGGGAUAACUACUGGAAACGGUAGCUAAUACCGCAUAACGUCGCAAGACCAAAGAGGGGGACCUUCGGGCCUCUUGCCAUCAGAUGUGCCCAGAUGGGAUUAGCUAGUAGGUGGGGUAACGGCUCACCUAGGCGACGAUCCCUAGCUGGUCUGAGAGGAUGACCAGCCACACUGGAACUGAGACACGGUCCAGACUCCUACGGGAGGCAGCAGUGGGGAAUAUUGCACAAUGGGCGCAAGCCUGAUGCAGCCAUGCCGCGUGUAUGAAGAAGGCCUUCGGGUUGUAAAGUACUUUCAGCGGGGAGGAAGGUGUUGUGGUUAAUAACCNCANCAAUUGACGUUACCCGCAGAAGAAGCACCGGCUAACUCCGUGCCAGCAGCCGCGGUAAUACGGAGGGUGCAAGCGUUAAUCGGAAUUACUGGGCGUAAAGCGCACGCAGGCGGUCUGUCAAGUCGGAUGUGAAAUCCCCGGGCUCAACCUGGGAACUGCAUUCGAAACUGGCAGGCUAGAGUCUUGUAGAGG